AAUUGACCAUCUCUAGAACCAGAGCUCUGCCCUUUGUCAGACAAUAUAAAUAAAAAAACUUAAAAAAAAGAGGGUGAAAUUUUUGGAUGAAAUUUGAAGCAUGUUUGUCCUGUUCUCAUUGCUUAGAGAACAAGAGUAUGAAGGUAAGAGUUAACUUAAAAUAAGAGUGCACUUAGAAAUGGAUCAAAAGGCCCUUGAUAUGUGAAUAAGAAAGCAAUAGCAAUUUAGCGUCAACAGUACAACUCUAGAAAGGAAGUUGAGGUGACUAUAACAUAACACCAAAAGCUAUUAGGCCUCUGAACAAUUGUAAUGAUCAAGAUAACAGUUUAUUAUAAUUAUUUAGAUGGCAGCCUUAUCUACCUUGUGGCUAGUGCUAGGAUACAGACCAUAAUUUCAUCCCUGAAUCUCACCAUAUAUAGUGCUCCUAGGUAGGGGUAUACAAAGAAACUGACAAACCGAUCAACUCGACCAACUCGAAUAAAUCCAAACCGAAAUUAGUGAUUUUAUAAAUUUAAAUAUUUGUUAUGAUUUGAAAAUAAUUAUAAACUGAAU
rnacentral:misc_RNA from 1 species